rnacentral:rRNA from 1 species
UGGGGAAUAUUGCACAAUGGGGGAAACCCUGAUGCAGCGACGCCGCGUGAGGGAAGAAGGUUUUCGGAUUGUAAACCUCUGUCCUCAGGGAAGAUAAUGACGGUACCUGAGGAGGAAGCCACGGCUAACUACGUGCCAGCAGCCGCGGUAAUACGUAGGUGGCAAGCGUUGUCCGGAAUUACUGGGUGUAAAGGGAGCGUAGGCGGGAAGAUAAGUUGAAUGUUAAAACUAUCGGCUCAACCGAUAGUCGCGUUCAAAACUAUCUUUCUUGAGUGGAGUAGAGGUUGGCGGAAUUCCUAGUGUAGCGGUGAAAUGCGUAGAUAUUAGGAGGAACACCAGUGGCGAAGGCGGCCAACUGGGCUCUAACUGACGCUGAGGCUCGAAAGCGUGGGUAGCAAACA